UACAUGGUUUGGCAGACAGAUUGCCGGAACAGAAUGAACACGAAGCGAUGGAUCCCAGCAGUUGGCCGUGGGCUCUCAUAGGAGACAAUCUCGUUGCCUAAAACACAUGGUGAUCUAUGUUUCCCAUUUUCCAUUCAAGGCCAAACAUUACCAACUGUCAAUCUAAUAGAAAGAGAAUUAUAUGUCAGCUUCCAAGGUUUAUGUACCAUCAGAGACAUCUGAGAUCUGUGGAAGUAAAGAAUGGCUUGAACAAGCUUUCGGUCAAACAUAUUCUCUGCAAUCAACAGCUAGUCAUGAUGUGCAAACCCUAGCUAUGAGAUGCUUGGGAUAUCCCAAGCUGAUAUGCUGAGAUAGCAUUUUAUUGGACUUGCUGUUAUAACUAUCAAAACCAGCAUCCACAGAAGGAUUAUAUUCCUUUGGCUUCUAUUUUAUUGUAGAAUCUGCACUGUAAUCAGAGGACAAGAUGCAAUCUUAGUAGGCAAUAAAUACAUAGGUGCUCUUAGGAUUGUUGACUAGAUGAUAUAUUCUCAAGGAACAUUACUACACCAAAAAGUAUACAAAAGCAGCCAGAUGUUGAUUCUCCAAACAGAGCAUAUCAAGACUAAAGCAAUGGAAGCCCAGACUAAAACCAAACUCUUGCUUGCUUACUCCAGAUCCUUGUUUGAAAAGAUUGAAAUAUUGGAGGCAACUGCAAUGUGGCUGAAACAAAUAUAUAUUCCCAGAUAAAAGUUUCAGAGCUGCAACAGCUAAUUUAGUAUUCCAUCACAAGCUUGUCAGUGUAUGUAGCAGAUGAUAAUUGGAAUCAAGAGGUAACCUUAUGCCUUGUUUAUGUUGCAGUCACCUUGACACUAACUUUCUUUUACCAUCGCUGGAGGAUGCUAUAACAAUUUUGUGCUCGAGGAAGCUCGACCAUUGAUUUAUAUCACAACUCAUCAGCAGGGCAUUUCUCAUGAACUUCUCGAUCAAACUAUUAGUAGAAGAGAUAUUUUAGUUGUUCUAUUUUGGAAGAAUAGCCACAGAGCUAAAUGUAAGACUAAUAUAUCAGAAGAUUGCAGACAGGGAUUAUAUCCAUUUUUGAGUUGAAGGAAUAAUGGUUUCCACA